GAUGAACGCUGGCGGCGUGCCUAAUACAUGCAAGUCGAGCGAACGGACGAGAAGCUUGCUUCUCUGAUGUUAGCGGCGGACGGGUGAGUAACACGUGGAUAACCUACCUAUAAGACUGGGAUAACUUCGGGAAACCGGAGCUAAUACCGGAUAAUAUUUUGAACCGCAUGGUUCAAAAGUGAAAGACGGUCUUGCUGUCACUUAUAGAUGGAUCCGCGCUGCAUUAGCUAGUUGGUAAGGUAACGGCUUACCAAGGCAACGAUGCAUAGCCGACCUGAGAGGGUGAUCGGCCACACUGGAACUGAGACACGGUCCAGACUCCUACGGGAGGCAGCAGUAGGGAAUCUUCCGCAAUGGGCGAAAGCCUGACGGAGCAACGCCGCGUGAGUGAUGAAGGCCUUCGGAUCGUAAAACUCUGUUAUUAGGGAAGAACAUAUGUGUAAGUAACUGUGCACAUCUUGACGGUACCUAAUCAGAAAGCCACGGCUAACUACGUGCCAGCAGCCGCGGUAAUACGUAGGUGGCAAGCGUUAUCCGGAAUUAUUGGGCGUAAAGCGCGCGUAGGCGGUUUUUUAAGUCUGAUGUGAAAGCCCACGGCUCAACCGUGGAGGGUCAUUGGAAACUGGAAAACUUGAGUGCAGAAGAGGAAAGUGGAAUUCCAUGUGUAGCGGUGAAAUGCGCAGAGAUAUGGAGGAACACCAGUGGCGAAGGCGACUUUCUGGUCUGUAACUGACGCUGAUGUGCGAAAGCGUGGGGAUCAAACAGGAUUAGAUACCCUGGUAGUCCACGCCGUAAACGAUGAGUGCUAAGUGUUAGGGGGUUUCCGCCCCUUAGUGCUGCAGCUAACGCAUUAAGCACUCCGCCUGGGGAGUACGACCGCAAGGUUGAAACUCAAAGGAAUUGACGGGGACCCGCACAAGCGGUGGAGCAUGUGGUUUAAUUCGAAGCAACGCGAAGAACCUUACCAAAUCUUGACAUCCUUUGACAACUCUAGAGAUAGAGCUUUCCCCUUCGGGGGACAAAGUGACAGGUGGUGCAUGGUUGUCGUCAGCUCGUGUCGUGAGAUGUUGGGUUAAGUCCCGCAACGAGCGCAACCCUUAAGCUUAGUUGCCAUCAUUAAGUUGGGCACUCUAAGUUGACUGCCGGUGACAAACCGGAGGAAGGUGGGGAUGACGUCAAAUCAUCAUGCCCCUUAUGAUUUGGGCUACACACGUGCUACAAUGGACAAUACAAAGGGCAGCGAAACCGCGAGGUCAAGCAAAUCCCAUAAAGUUGUUCUCAGUUCGGAUUGUAGUCUGCAACUCGACUACAUGAAGCUGGAAUCGCUAGUAAUCGUAGAUCAGCAUGCUACGGUGAAUACGUUCCCGGGUCU
rnacentral:rRNA from 1 species